AACGAACGCUGGCGGCGUGCCUAAUACAUGCAAGUCGAGCGGACAGAAGGGAGCUUGCUCCCGGAAGUUAGCGGCGGACGGGUGAGUAACACGUGGGCAACCUACCCUGUAGAUCGGGAUAACAUCGAGAAAUCGGUGCUAAUACCGGAUAAUCAUUUGAAGUGCAUGCUUCGAAUGUAAAAGAUGGCUCCGGCUAUCACUACGGGAUGGGCCCGCGGCGCAUUAGCUAGUUGGUAAGGUAAUGGGUUACCAAGGCAACGAUGCGUAGCCGACCUGGAAGGACGCUCGGCCACACUGGGAAUGGGACACGGCCCAGACUCCUACGGGAGGCAGCAGUAGGGAAUCUUCCGCAAUGGACGCAAGUCUGACGGAGCAACGCCGCGUGAGUGAUGAAGGUUUUCGGAUCGUAAAGCUCUGUUGUUAGGGAAGAACAAGUGCCGUUUGAAUAAGGCGGCACCUUGACGGUACCUAACCAGAAAGCCACGGCUAACUACGUGCCAGCCGCCGCCGUAAUAC
rnacentral:rRNA from 1 species